rnacentral:rRNA from 1 species
UACAGAGGUCUCAAGCGUUGUUCGGAUUCAUUGGGCGUAAAGGGCGCGUAGGCUGCGGGGUAAGUCGGGUGUGAAAUCUCAGAGCUCAACUCUGAAACUGCACUCGAUACUGCUUUGCUUGAGGACUGGAGAGGAGAUUGGAAUUCACGGUGUAGCAGUGAAAUGCGUAGAUAUCGUGAGGAAGACCAGUGGCGAAGGCGGAUCUCUGGACAGUUCCUGACGCUGAGGCACGAAGGCCAGGGGAGCAAACGGGG